rnacentral:misc_RNA from 1 species
AGAGAGAGAGAGAGAGAGAGUUUAAUACAAGCAUGAAAUGAGAGAAAGAGAAUCAGUCAAAUUAGUCAAUUACAAGCAUGAAAUGAAUAAAUAUUUUUUAAUGUAUAUAUACGACGCCUUCCGUGUCCAAAAAUUGCAAUAGUUUUGCAAGGUGCUUUACAACGUAUAUAACAUACAGAGUCAAUAAUCGUUUUCAUUCUGUUUAAUUUGUUUUCCCUGAUUUAUAUUUUAUUCGUUAGUGUAUUUGUGUGCCUGGUUAUUUUUAUUUACGCGUGUCUUUAGCGGAAGUUCAAUUAUCGUUUGGGUUUCCGCUGUGUCUCAACAGUAUAAAUGUAUUUUUAAAAUUCACACUUGGUUUUAUGUGCACAUACUUAUUAUGAACCUAAGAUACCGAUAUAAGCACAGUUUUUUCUUGUUGAUAUUUAUGUUAAAAGAAUUAGUUUUUAGAAUACAUUUAUUGCACAUCAAACGCUUGUUAUUUAAUAUCCUUAUUUGUUUGUAUGUCUGUUUGUGUAUAAACUGUCUGUCAGUCUUUGUUAACAGGGUAGACGGUUAGAAAACUUACAUGAGAUUAAUUUAAUUAAAUAAACAUACAUGUAUUAUGUUACACAACGCC